UGAAGGAGCUUGGAGUAUGAGAGAAGGACGGAGCAGGCGGUGCCUUCAACAUCACAGGUGCAACCUCUGCAAAGCUGGAGAGUUAGUGUGCCAGAAUAGGAGCAGACUGAAGCCUGACAGAAAAUACGUUUUUUAAAUAAAAAUUUAUGACACAUCA